rnacentral:rRNA from 1 species
GUCUAUGGCCGUGCCACCCUGAACAAGCCCGAUGUCUGAUCUCGGAAGCUAAGCAGGGUCGGGCCUGGUUAGUACUUGGAUGGGAGACUACCUAGGAAGACCAGGUGCUGUAGGCA